rnacentral:misc_RNA from 1 species
UAGGGUCUUUGACUCUUCAACCCACCGUGCUCUAAAGACACUUACUGCUGAGGCGGGCCGCUCGCUCGGGGAGCUGCAGCCUGUUUUUACAGGUGGUCCGCCGAAGCAACCUUUUAAUUCUUUACUGAACAACCACAAAAACUUUCUAAAUGAAAAAUCA